rnacentral:rRNA from 1 species
GAGAAGACAGGUGCUGCAUGGCUGUCGUCAGCUCGUGUCGUGAGAUGUUGGUUAAGUCCCGCAACGAGCGCAACCCUCGUCGUUAGUUGCCAUCAUUAAGUUGGGAACUCUAGCGAGACUGCCGGUGACAAACCGGAGGAAGGUGAGGAUGACGUCAAGUCAGCAUGGCCCUUACGUCCUGGGCGACACACGUACUACAAUGCGAGGGACAGAGAGCAGCCAACCCGCGAGGGAGAGCGAACCUCUUAAACCCUGGCACAGUUCAGAUUGCAGGCUGCAACUCGCCUGCAUGAAGGAGGAAUCGCUAGUAAUCGCAGGUCAGCAUACUGCGGUGAAUCCGUUCCCGGGCCUU